GCUUCAGUUUUCAACGCCUUCUUUUCUGUUUGUGUGGGCUGAAAAUGUGUGAGCUUUAUAUGGCACAAGGGUGUGCAUUCACUGAUGAAUCAUUAUAUCUUUGAUAUUACGAAUGUUUGAAGUCUGAACCUCCUAUGUACGACGAUGUGUAUAUUCUGUAAAAUGUGUAUUUUCAUCAUUUGUCUGACAGUCUAAUACUGAGCUUAAACAUGUACUCUUGGAUGAUAUGCGUGAGUUGUGGACUUCCUGCCCUUUAUCACAAAUCUACAGGAGAACCUACUCGGCGGUCCUGAUGUUGCACUCGGCAGCGGCGCCGGCGGUGGCAUCGUCUUGUUUCAGAUUUACUGAAUUGGCCAUGAAGGGUGGCUGAGCCAUCAGGAGCGGCAGCGGUGGCCUGCUGCGGACGCUGCUGCGGCUCCCUGUUCUUCAUCGCCUGCGUCUACCUGCUCCGUGCCGACCCCAUGUAUAUCCUCUCCUCCCCGUGCUUCUCUUGCCUGGGAGGCAACUCUUCAGUGUGCUUGACAUGGUCCAUCUUCUCCUCCCCAUUGCUCUCUCUAAUCCCCAAUGUUCACAUUUGGUCUGCUCUUGUCUUGUAGAUGUGCAGGAAGAAAAGGGCCAUAAGAUUGUACAGGCAGAACAUGAUGUUGUUCUGUUCAACCAC